GGCGGCCCCUGAGGGCAGGAACCGCUUUUCCUCUUGAGGAUCUCAAGAAGGCCUCCCUUAGUAGCCCCAGGGGCCACAGAUUCUCCAUAUGCAUUUUGUCUUCCUUUUAGAAUCGUACGGUUGGUCCAGGGAGCAGGAGGAAGGCAACGAUUUGGUCACCGAUUUCAGUCACGUCUGCCGUGGGCACAGGGACGGGGGGCUUAGAUCAGGCGCGCUGUCAGUGUGGACCCUUGUGCCCCUCAGAGGAUACAAACAUCUUAGGCUGUCCUAUUAAAAAUCAUCCAUCCUGCUCA